GCUGGGCUGAUCCUGUCCUUUCCCCCAGCCCUGGGAAAGGGAGCUCUUAUAAGGGUCUCUGGAAGUUCUUUGCCUUCAGUUUCAUGCAAAUUGUAAUUAUUUCAGUGAAGUUUUGCUGUUUGUGCCUCGGGUGCAGUGCUGUCUCCUGGCUGGCUCUGCAGGUUCUGCAGUGGCACAGGAUGAAAUGGAGCUGAAUAUGGAGGCAGCUGAGAAGAAGAAAAUCACUUGCUUAUGAAAUGGUCUCCCACACCCUGGAAUGGCUCCAGUGCCCAAGGAAGAGCUGAGUGGAGCCAGGGAAAACACUGAGGACCAUUUUGAGCCAACUGGAAAUUUCCAAGCUCUCACAUGGGGUCAAAACCUCUGGAAUGUUCCCGCUCCUCCUCUGUAAGACUCUGAGAGUCCAUGUCAUUCAACAGCCCAGGAUGGAACAGCCCAUUUGGAGGAUGACACCUCCCCCAGAG